rnacentral:rRNA from 1 species
GACGAACGCUGGCGGCGGGCUUAACACAUGCAAGUCGAACGGAAAGGCCCUGAUAUUGUGGGGUGCUCGAGUGGCGAAGGGGUGAGUAACAGGAGAGUAACCUGCCCUUGACUUUGGGAUAACUUCAGGAAACUGGGGUUAAUAUCGGAUAGGAGCUCACGUAGGAUGGAGGGGGUUGGAAAGUUUCGGCGGUCGGGGAUGGACUAGCGGCUUAUCAGCUUGUUGGUGGGGUAGUGGCUUACCAAGGCUGUGGCGGGUAGGCGGCCUGGGAGGGUGACCGGCCACAAUGGGACUGAGAUAGGGACCAGUCUCCUACAGGAGGCAGCAGUGGGGAAUAUUGCACAGUGGUCGGAAGUCUGAUGCAGCAACGCCGCGUUCGUGAUGACGGCCUUCGGGUUGUAAACCGCUUUCGCCUGUGACGAAGCGUGAGUGACGGUAAUGAGUAAAGAAGCACCGGCUAACUACGUG